rnacentral:rRNA from 1 species
AGAGUUUGAUCAUGGCUCAGGACGAACGCUGGCGGCGCGCUUAAAACAUGCAAGUCGAACGAGAACCAGAAGGUGCUUGCACCAUCUGGGGAAAGUGGCGAACGGGUGAGUAACGCGUGAGAAACCUGCCCCGAAGUUUGGGAUAACCCGAGGAAACUUGGACUAAUACCGAAUAUCUUCUUUUAUACAUAUGUAUUUACGAAGAAAGCUCCGGCGCUUUGGGAUGGUCUCGCGGCCUAUCAGCUUGUUGGUGAGGUAAAAGCUCACCAAGGCAUCGACGGGUAGCUGGUCUGAGAGGAUGUCCAGCCACACUGGGACUGAGAUACGGCCCAGACUCCUACGGGAGGCAGCAGUUAGGAAUCUUGCACAAUGGGGGAAACCCUGAUGCAGCGACGCCGCGUGCGGGACGAAGGCCCUAGGGUUGUAAACCGCUUUCAGUAGGGACGAAAGUGACGGUACCUACAGAAGAAGCCCCGGCCAACUAUGUGCCAGCAGCCGCGGUGAUACAUAGGGGGCAAGCGUUGUCCGGAUUUACUGGGCGUAAAGAGCUCGUAGGCGGUUUAUCAAGUCGGAAGUGAAAUCUCCAGGCUCAACCUGGAGCGGCCUUUCGAAACUGAUAUGACUUGAGUAUGGUAGAGGAGUGUGGAAUUCCCAGUGUAGCGGUGAAAUGCGCAGAUAUUGGGAGGAACACCUAUGGCGAAGGCAGCACUCUGGGCCAAAACUGACGCUGAGGAGCGAAAGCGUGGGGAGCGAACAGGAUUAGAUACCCUAGUAGUCC